rnacentral:rRNA from 1 species
AGUCGAACGAAGCCUUCGGGCUUAGUGGCGCACGGGUGCGUAACACGUGGGAAUCUGCCCUUCGGUUCGGAAUAACAGUUAGAAAUGACUGCUAAUACCGGAUGAUGACGAAAGUCCAAAGAUUUAUCGCCGAAGGAUGAGCCCGCGUAGGAUUAGGUAGUUGGUAGGGUAAUGGCCUACCAAGCCGACGAUCCUUAGCUGGUCUGAGAGGAUGAUCAGCCACACUGGGACUGAGACACGGCCCAGACUCCUACGGGAGGCAGCAGUGGGGAAUAUUGGACAAUGGGCGAAAGCCUGAUCCAGCAAUGCCGCGUGAGUGAUGAAGGCCUUAGGGUUGUAAAGCUCUUUUACCAGGGAUGAUAAUGACAGUACCUGGAGAAUAAGCUCCGG